CCCAGACUCCUACGGGAGGCAGCAGUGGGGAAUAUUGCACAAUGGGGGAAACCCUGAUGCAGCGACGCCGCGUGAAGGAAGAAGUAUUUCGGUAUGUAAACUUCUAUCAGCAGGGAAGAAAAUGACGGUACCUGACUAAGAAGCCCCGGCUAACUACGUGCCAGCAGCCGCGGUAAUACGUAGGGGGCAAGCGUUAUCCGGAUUUACUGGGUGUAAAGGGAGCGUAGACGGCAGUGCAAGUCCGGAGUGAAAGCCCGGGGCUCAACCCUGGGACUGCUCUGGAAACUGUAAAGCUGGAGUGCGGGAGGGGCAGGCGGAAUUCCUGGUGUAGCGGUGAAAUGCGUAGAUAUCAGGAGGAACACCGGCGGCGAAGGCGGCCUGCUGGACAGUAACUGACGUUGAGGCUCGAAAGCGUGGGGAGCAAACAGGAUUAGAUACCCUUGUAUAU
rnacentral:rRNA from 1 species